CAGCGGCAAGCUUAACCGAAGAGGGGAGGCGUAGCGAAAGCGAGUCUUAAAUGGGCGCACAGUCGUUGGGAGUAGACCCGAAACCGGGUGAUCUACCCAUGGCCAGGGUGAAGGCGCGGUAACACGCGCUGGAGGCCCGAACCCACGUCUGUUGAAAAAGACGGGGAUGAGCUGUGGGUCGGAGUGAAAGGCUAAUCAAACCCGGAGAUAGCUGGUUCUCCCCGAAAGCUAUUUAGGUAGCGCCUCGCGUCUCACUCUCGGGGGUAGAGCACUGUUCGGCUAGGGGGCCAUCCCGGCUUACCAACCCGAUGCAAACUCCGAAUACCGAGAAGUGCAAUCGCGGGAGACAGACGGCGGGUGCUAACGUCCGUCGUCAAGAGGGAAACAACCCAGACCGCCAGCUAAGGUCCCCAAAUCAUGGCUCAGUGGCAAACGAGGUGGGAAGGCCCAGACAGCCAGGAGGUUGGCUUAGAAGCAGCCACCCUUUAAAGAAAGCGUAAUAGCUCACUGGUCGAGUCGGCCUGCGCGGAAGAUUCAACGGGGCUUAA
rnacentral:rRNA from 1 species